AGCGAACGCUGGCGGCAGGCUUAACACAUGCAAGUCGAGCGCCCCGCAAGGGGAGCGGCAGACGGGUGAGUAACACGUGGGAACGUACCCUUUGGUUCGGAACAACCCAGGGAAACUUGGGCUAAUACCGGAUAAGUCCGCGAGGAGAAAGAUUUAUCGCCGAAGGAUCGGCCCGUGUCUGAUUAGCUAGUUGGUGUGGUAACGGCGCACCAAGGCGACGAUCAGUAGCUGGUCUGAGAGGAUGAUCAGCCACACUGGGACUGAGACACGGCCCAGACUCCUACGGGAGGCAGCAGUGGGGAAUAUUGGACAAUGGGGGCAACCCUGAUCCAGCCAUGCCGCGUGAGUGAUGAAGGCCCUAGGGUUGUAAAGCUCUUUCGGUGGGGAAGAUAAUGACGGUACCCACAGAAGAAGCCCCGGCUAACUUCGUG
rnacentral:rRNA from 1 species